rnacentral:rRNA from 1 species
UACGAGGGGUGCAAGCGUUGUCCGGAAUCAUUGGGCGUAAAGGGUGCGUAGGCGUCUUUGUAAGCAUUGAUUGAAAUCCUUCGGCUUAACCGGAGAACUGGUCAGUGAACUGCAAGGAUAGAGUUUGGUAGAGGAAAGUGGAAUUCCCGGUGUAGCGGUGAAAUGCGUAGAUAUCGGGAGGAACAUCGAAGGCGAAGGCAGCUUUCUGGGCCAAUACUGACGCUGAGGCACGAAAGCGUGGGUAGCGAAC